rnacentral:pre_miRNA from 1 species
ACAACAUUCGAACCGUCGGUCUACCGGGUCAUUUCACUGAAUCGGUGGAAGAUCUUCCCUUUGCCAU